rnacentral:rRNA from 1 species
UACGGGGGGGGCAAGCGUUGUUCGGAAUUACUGGGCGUAAAGGGCGCGUAGGCGGCCUGCUAAGUCACACGUGAAAUCCCUCGGCUCAACCGGGGAACUGCGUGUGAUACUGGCGGGCUUGAAUUCGGGAGAGGGAUGUGGAAUUCCAGGUGUAGCGGUGAAAUGCGUAGAUAUCUGGAGGAACACCGGUGGCGAAGGCGGCAUCCUGGACCGGUAUUGACGCUGAGGCGCGAAAGCCAGGGGAGCAAACGGG